UAUAAAAGCCUAGAUAGAUUCAGACUGAGGUUGCACAAAACAGAUAACGCAAAUACGUAAUGUGACGCGAUGCCAUUUGAAUGUGUUUCUCAUCUGCAGAGACAAUGAGUUACGCACAACUGCAAGAGCCGGAUUUCAUCAGAACCGUUAUUCCGCACCUCAGAAACGGAACUGAGAAUUUCAAAGCCUUUACAGACAUUCUCCUCGAGUAUGAUGAAUCAAAAAACCAAGCCAUCCAGCAAGUUAUUCGUAAGGGAAAAGCAAGCCUGGAUCAGGCAGACACAGCUGCGUCUGCUGAACUGUCCAAGGUGAAUGAAUACACUGAGAGGCUGGAGGCCCGGAAAGGACAGCUGGACGAACGGCACAAGAAUAAAAUUAAAGAUCUGGAAAACUUGGAAACAGAGAGCCGAAACUUGGCUCACUGCAUGGAGAAAAGCAGGGUGGCUUUAAAUGAUUCUCAGAGAUCCCUGAAUUCUGCUCGGGACACUCUUGCAGACCUUGAAAGAAAACAGAGGGAAAGUCAAACGGUGCGGGGUGUUGGAAUAGGAAUGUUGUUAAUCCCCAUCAUUGGCCUCAUUGCUGGUGCCAUCAUGGUAGGUGUCUCUCAGGUGGAGUUUGAGAAUGCCAAAUGGGCAAUACGUAAAUGCGAGGAAGAAAUGAAAAAAUGUGAAAGAGAAGUUAAUAAGUAUUGUGAUACGUUAAAAGAAAAAGAGAGGCAAAGUAUGCAGAGUGUAAGAGGAACAUCGAGCAGAUUGAGCAGAGACUAGCGCAGGUUUCCGAGCAGCGCAAUAGCAUCACCCACGCACAGGAGAAAGUUAGGACAGUUGUCCACUUGUUAGACACACUGGCUGGAAGAGCGGCGGUGGCCAAGACCCUCACUGAACGAGUCGUCUGCCUGCCGACCCUCGUGAACAUACUGGAAGAGAUUGUUAAACUCAUGCUCGAAAAUAGAAAAAAUGAGAUCCUCGGUGAUCCAGAAGUCAGAGCUGCCAUCCUUAGCCUGCAAGAAGUCUGCAAGAAUGUUUCAGCCAUUAAGGACGAGCAGGCAUUGAAAGAAAUUCAGUUUUACUGAUGGGGAUGUAAACAAUUCCAAUAGCGUGUAGUAUAUAUAUAUGUAUAUAUCAGAUAAAUAGUAGAAAAAUGUUGCUGACAUAUAUACACAAUUAGAAAUUAGCCUUUUGCUUCACACACAAUAUAUACUUCAAUUAUUUUUAGGUUAUGAUAAAUGAAUCCUAUAUCAAUAUGUGAACUUGAUAUGGGCCAUGUUACUCUAAUCAAUGUAUGCAUUAAUGUGAAGAUGUCACUUCUGUAGAGAGCAAAAUGCUAUCAUUGUGAGAGCAAACAUGGCAGCGCCCUGCUGCAAGAAUUUAGUGCAAUAAUACGAAAAUUAUUCUCUAAGAAAUUAACACAAGAAAUUACAAUAAAUUUCUUCUGUCAUCACCUGGACUACUCACCUAGUUCCACUGAACUGGAGAAUUUGGAAGAUUUUAUAGACUAAUAUUAUGAAAGAUUUUUCCACACAAUGCCACACCAAAAAACAUCAGCAAUGGCAACCAGCAGAAAGGGAACCAAACGUUACUGCAAUUCAUCUAGGGACACAGAAGGACUUCUGACUAACAAGCCUGACAGUAGUGACACUAUAAACAAGACCUUAUCCACACUCAAUACAAGAAUUGCACUGUAAUCUAAUCUCUGCAUAAGAAGUUUCAAGGACUGAAAGAUAGUUUGGAAGAAUGAAUCAAAAAACGCAUAAAGAAAUGGCUGUCUUAAAAACCCAGUUAACACUGUAACUACCCAAAUGACUUUCGUGGAAAAGGAAAAUAAACAACUGAAAGAAUCCAUCCUCAACAUCUAAACUCACCGCAUGAGAGAUAACUUAAACCACAUAUGAUUUUUCUAGCCUAUGGAGGAGAAUGUCGUGGCCUAUGGUAUCAAAGGCAGCACUCAGGUCAAGCAGGAUAAGAACAGAGAUACAUCCACAAUCAAGGGAGAGAAACAGAUCAUUUAUUACUCCGGCGAGGGCUGUCUCAGUACCAUAAUGCUUCCUAAAACCAGGCUGAAACCUCUCAUACACAUUGUUAUCCUGUAGAAAAGAAGAGAGUUGUUGUGCUACACAUUUCUCAAGGUUCUUUGAUAGAAAUAGGAAAGCCUGUAGGAUCCAAAUUUGUUUUGUUGAGCAGGGGCUUGAAAGUUAUUUAAGAUGUGUCUUGCAUAUGGCAGGAAAGAAUCAUUGUUGUACCACUCCAUCUAUGGUGAAGUCAGGUUUUGGACCGAUGUCAGGAUCCAUGGAUGCAAUGGAUUAGCACUGUCACCUUUAAAUGUUAACACGUCCCAUUAGUAAAAACUUCAAAAAACAGUUUUAAUAUUUCAAGUUGUUUAAUUCCUUACCCAUCUCCAGAGGCACCAUCUCUCAACUUCUCUAACACAAAACUGUUCCUAAAGAUGAAGAAGUCGUGUUUUGAAAAGAUUUUAAAAGAUUGUCUCCUUUUGCAAAUGUAGGGGAGAGUCUCUAUUAAUGUAACGCUUGAUAAAUGUAACACGGUCAUUAACUUAUUGCACAAUACAGCUACUGUAGCCAUUUCAGGUCUGUACACGUGCAAAUAAGUCCUCUACCACUUCUCAAAGGAACAGAGCAAUGUGAUAACCUUUGCGGGAAAUAUUUCCAAAAAAAAAAAAAAAGUUUUGGAAGCAAUUUUCAGAUAUAGUGCUUUAUUUUUUGUUUUCAAUAAAUCAAAACAUCGUUUUAAAAGUUAUCUGUCCUUGAACAGAUUCUUUGAGUGUUUUCUAGUGGGAAUUGGAUGCUAGGUUGGAUGAUAGGGUUGUACCGAUUGAGGGAUCAGCGUUCAUCAUGAGGGAUCAGUGACCUCUACUCCUAGAGAUGAUUUUUUGACUAGUCAUAAUAAUGAUACAUCUAUUAUUUAAUAUCAUAUAUCAAUGAAAAAAGGAAAAACAGCAUGUGCACAGUGUGUUAUUAUGAGGUGCUGGUCUGGCAAGAUACAAGCAACAUGAACGACACACUCAGAAGGAAAAGGAGAAUUCAUGACAAAAAAGACUUGUAUUGUUUAAUUGCUAGUUAGGAUGCAUACAUACUAAGUCUUUAGAUCUGGCAUCCAGUCCAUAAUGUCACUGAGCAAACAAGAGCAGGUGACUGCAGGGAUGCUGUCACCUGUGCCCAAAGGGGCUGGCUGCUUUGUUAACACUAGAAAGGCAUUUGGACUUUAAAAUUGAAAUUAUACAAUAACAAUAUCCCCCUCCUUCCAUGACCUUUCAUAAAUAUUUGGGCUUAAAAUAACCUUAUUGUUAAAAUUCUAAAAAAUUGACACACCGAAGACAUACAGGCAGUUUGUGCCAUUUUCUUUACAGAAACCCUCCUCUCAACAAUAGGUGACAGGUGCCGAUACCCAGGUGUGAAUGGGUUGCUCUCUCCUCCGACACACUAUUCAGAAACUGGUCAUUCAGAAUGGCCAACGCUUUGACAUACAAAUUGCUUGAUCAAGUGCUAUCAGAACUAAUUUUAUUUGUGUGCAGUCCCUGCUCCCCCAGCCUCCCCCAGCCCAGUGCCUCCCCCAGCCUCCCCAACCCAGUGCCUCCCCCAACUCAGUGUCUCCAUCAACUCAGUGCCUCCCCCAGCCCAGUGCCUCCCCCAGCCCAGUGCCUCCCCCAGC